rnacentral:rRNA from 1 species
CCUAAGACAUGCAAGUCGAACGAAGUGCCCCAUUGAGAACUGAAUGAAGUUGGAGAGCUUGCUCAAAGAUGGAAUGACGUAGGAUUUGGAUUCUGCACUUAGUGGCGAACGGGUGAGUAACACGUAGGUUAUCUGCCUUCAAGCUGGGGAUAACAGUUAGAAAUGACUGCUAAUACCGAAUGUGCUAGUAAUAGUAAAGGCGCUUUCAAGCGUCACUUGAAGAUGAGCCUGCGGCGUAUUAGCUAGUUGGUGGGGUAACGGCCUACCAAGGCGACGAUGCGUAGCCGGACUGAGAAGUUGAACGGCCACACUGGGACUGAGACACGGCCCAGACUCCUACGGGAGACAGCAGUUAGGAAUAUUCGGCAAUGGGCGAAAGCCUGACCGAGCAAUGCCGCGUGUGAGAUGAAGGUCCUUUGGAUUGUAAAUCACUUUUAUUUGGGAAGAACAGUAAGUAGAGGAAAUGAUACUUAUUUGACGGUACCUUUUGAAUAAGCCCCGGCUAACUACGUGCCAGCAGCGGC